UACGUAGGGUGCGAGCGUUGUCCGGAAUUACUGGGCGUAAAGGGCUCGUAGGUGGCCAACUAAGUCAGACGUGAAAUCCCUCGGCUUAACCGGGGAACUGCGUCUGAUACUGGAUGGCUUGAGGUUGGGAGAGGGAUGCGGAAUUCCAGGUGUAGCGGUGAAAUGCGCAGAUAUCAGGAGGAACACCGGUGGCGAAGGCGGAUCUCUGGGCCUUACCUGACGCUGAGGCGCGAAAGCUAGGGGAGCGAACAGG
rnacentral:rRNA from 1 species